AGCAGUCGCCACGGUAAUACGUAGGUGGCAAGCGUCGUCCGGAAUUAUUGGGCGUAAAGGGCUCGCAGGCGGUUUCUUAAGUCUGAUGUGAAAGCCCCCGGCUCAACCGGGGAGGGUCAUUGGAAACUGGGAAACUUGAGUGCAGAAGAGGAGAGUGGAAUUCCACGUGUAGCGGUGAAAUGCGUAGAGAUGUGGAGGAACACCAGUGGCGAAGGCGACUCUCUGGUCUGUAACUGACGCUGAGGAGCGAAAGCGUGGGGAGCGAACAGGAUUAGAUACCCGCGUAGUCCCUGUCUCUUAUAC
rnacentral:rRNA from 1 species